rnacentral:rRNA from 1 species
UACGUAGGGUGCGAGCGUUAAUCGGAAUUACUGGGCGUAAAGCGCACGUAGGCGGCUUUGUAAGUUAGAGGUGAAAGCCCGGAGCUCAACUCCGGAACUGCCUUUAAGACUGCAUCGCUCGAACGUCGGAGAGGUAAGUGGAAUUCCGAGUGUAGAGGUGAAAUUCGUAGAUAUUCGGAAGAACACCAGUGGCGAAGGCGACUUACUGGACGACUGUUGACGCUGAGGUGCGAAAGCGUGGGGAGCAAACAGG